rnacentral:rRNA from 4 species
CCCGUCACACCAUGGGAGUGGGUUGCAAAAGAAGUAGGUAGCUUAACCUUCGGGAGGGCGCUUACCACUUUGUGAUUCAUGACUGGGGUGAAGUCGUAACAAGGUAACCGUAGGGGAACCUGCGGUUGGAUCACCUCCUUACCUUAAAGAAGC